CGGCGGACGGGUGAGUAACACGUGGGUAACCUGCCUCAUACAGGGGGAUAACAGUUGGAAACGGCUGCUAAUACCGCAUAAGCGCACAGUACCGCAUGGUACGGUGUGAAAAACUCCGGUGGUAUGAGAUGGACCCGCGUCUGAUUAGGUAGUUGGUGGGGUAACGGCCUACCAAGCCGACGAUCAGUAGCCGACCUGAGAGGGUGACCGGCCACAUUGGGACUGAGACACGGCCCAA
rnacentral:rRNA from 1 species